rnacentral:rRNA from 1 species
GCUUGCUAUUUCCGUCGAGCGGCGGACGGGUGAGUAAUACUUAGGAAUCUACCUAGUAGUGGGGGAUAGCACGGGGAAACUCGUAUUAAUACCGCAUACGUCCUACGGGAGAAAGGGGGCAACUUGUUGCUCUCGCUAUUAGAUGAGCCUAAGUCGGAUUAGCUAGAUGGUGGGGUAAAGGCCUACCAUGGCGACGAUCUGUAGCUGGUCUGAGAGGAUGAUCAGCCACACCGGGGACUGAGACACGGCCCGGACUCCUACGGGAGGCAGCAGUGGGGAAUAUUGGACAAUGGGGGAAACCCUGAUCCAGCCAUGCCGCGUGUGUGAAGAAGGCCUUUUGGUUGUAAAGCACUUUAAGCAGUGAAGAAGACUCCUCGGUUAAUACCCGUGGGACGAUGACAUUAGCUGCAGAAUAAGCACCGGCUAACUCUGUGCCAGCAGCCGCGGUAAUACAGAGGGUGCAAGCGUUAAUCGGGAAUUACUGGGCGU